UUCCUACGGGACGCAGCAGUGAGGAAUAUUGGUCAAUGGACGGAAGCCUGAACCAGCCAUGCCGCGUGCAGGAAGACGGCUCUAUGAGUUGUAAACUGCUUUUGUACAAGGGCAAACCUGAAUACGUGUAUUCAGCUGAAAGAACUGUACGAAUAAGGAUCGGGUAACACCGUGCCAGCAGCCGCGGUAAUACGGAGGAUCCAAGCGUUAUCCGGAUUUAUUGGGUUUAAAGGGUGCGUAGGCGGAUUGAUAAGUUAGAGGGGAAAUGUGCGAGCUUAACUCGGGAACUGCCUCUAAUACUGUUG
rnacentral:rRNA from 1 species